AGUGGCGGACGGGUGAGUAACGCGUGGGUAACCUGCCUCAUACAGGGGGAUAACAGUUAAGAAAUGACUGCUAAUACCGCAUAAGACCACAGCACCGCAUGGUGCGAAGGGGUAAAAACUCCGGUGGUAUGAGAUGGACCCGCGUCUGAUUAGGUAGUUGGGUGGGGUAACGGCCUACCAAGCCGACGAUCAGUAGCCGACCUGAGAGGGCGACCGGCCACAUUGGGACUGAGACACGGCCCAA
rnacentral:rRNA from 1 species